UAGUCAUACUAUUUGCACUAUUAUUUCCAAUAUGUGCCAGAGUGUCUGCUAAAUGUAACUAGUAUGAUUAAAAACAUGGUCAUUGCAAAGUCUAACAUAUGGACAAGUCGGAUGCUUGGGGCUUGAUUCAGUGAAAGAAUGUUGGACAAGCAGAAGUGUUAUGGAGUGUGUGUGUUUUUAUAGUGACUGUGGAAAGAGGUAAGCGAUUGGAUGUGAAUGAUGCAAAAGUGGCAUUGUCCUCACUGGGUCUUAGUUAGGGGAGACGACUCCAGAAUGUAAGACUGAAAGGUUGUGUUAUUGUAGUGAGUUAGAUUGUAAGAAAUUUUAUUACUUAAGUCUACUACAUUUAUUUCCUAUGAUCACAAGUAUUAUAAAUGUUAUAUUUAGUUUCGUUCACAAGGAAGUUGUUCAAGUUCUUAUUAGCUAAGAUAUAUUAUGCCUUCAACAGUUUAGUUGCCUACCAGCAGUUUGGUGCUACAAGUCAACAACAGUCAGACUAAAUUAAAUAAAGCCAUGUCUAUUUCUACAUGAUUUUGUUGCUACUAACCUGGUGUUACUAACAACUAACUUGAAAAGGGAGAGGGGAAUUAUCAUCUUAUUCAUGCUCUAACUCUUCAAAUUCUAUAGAAUUGCAGAGAACUGACAUGAAAUAAAACAUUAACAAAAUGUGUAUUAUAAUUGUCACUUUUCCUCUGCUUAGCAUUUUUUUUCUCCUAGAUUUUCAUAAUAUUUUGUUGAAGUCAUUUCAGUUCUCAAUUAUUUUGUGCACUAAGUUACAAGAAAAAAUUCAAGCAAAAGAGGUCACUACACUAAGACUUUGUCUUCUCAUAAGAAUGGAUGGCUUCCUGGUCAUGUGAUAUGUGUGCUGGACUGUGUGUGGUCAUCUUGAUGCUCAUAUCUUGCCUGCUGACAUUUAUUAUGCUGGACAUUUGGUCAAGGAAUUAGAUUCUCUUCAGCUCUCAAGAAACAUUCAAAACAUGUCAAACAUUUGACAAGAAUAUCAAACUUGUGCAGUGUACAUACCAACAUGAUGAAAAGGUAGACAACCACGAAGAUGUAGACCAACAUGAUGAAGAUGUAGACCAACAUGAUGAUGUAGACCAACAUGAUGAAGAUGUAGACCAACAUGAUGAUGUAGACCAACAUGAAGAUGUAGACCAACAUGAAGAUGUAGACCUACAUGAUGAAGAUGUAGACCAGCAUGAUGAAGAUGGACCGAAUGAAGAUGAAAUGUAAACCAAAAUAUUGAUCAAGAAUAGGGAAUAAAAUGUGAACAUCUUGAGAAGGAAAACCAUUCCUAGAGGCAAAAACACAGACACAGUAGAUACAUUAGAGAUUGCUUCCUUUUCUACCAUCAUUUAGAGCCUUCCUUGUGCUCUAAGGAACCUGCCAUUAUCUUUUGAUAGCUCAUUGUCGGUGAAGAGGUUUUUACAUACCUAGUGCAUCUGAAAGAAAUGAACAUUUCCCUAAUGCUACUUCAAAACCAGACCUUCUCAAGACAAUCUUAGUGACCAAGCUGCAGUAGGAAACAAGAAUCCUCCCAACCUCAGGUUGAGUACCCAUGCUCACCUACUAGAGUGGCGACACAUACUUCUCCUACACCCACACUUUUAACAUUCUGAACCCUGUAACCCUACCUCACAACAUGGUUUCAUUACUAGAAGUGGUCCUGAAGUUAUGAAAACUAAAAGAUACAAUGAAUAGAACAAUCAUUUCUAAUACAGGCACAACUAGUCAAGUUAUGUACUUUGUAAGAACUAAUUAGUUUGAAUUACCAUAAUUGACUUGUAUCUUGUUCUAUAUUUAGGUAUAUCUUGACUAUCAGUCCAGUCAUUUGUUCAUUUUUUUUUUAAUUUACCUUUUUUUUCCCCCUCAAUCUUCUUGUUUCGGUUAAAUGUUUUUAUAUUUUUUUGUCUUUGGAGGAGUGAAGUUCUAUGGUAUAGUACCGGUAUCAUUAUUAUUAUUGUAUUAAGCAAACUUGUAUAUGUAUGUUUAUUCAUGAAUACUAAUGAAGAACAUCACUUCUGGAUCAUCUACCAAAAAUGUUGUAAACACUAUACAUGUCUGAGUUAACCUUGGAUAUUCUAUAGAGUCACAACACCAAAGCCUUGCUACAUUAUGCUUAAUUCAAUUUACUAUCUCCCCUGCUUUUGUG